UUCAAAGUUUAGGAGGUUACACAGCAUGUUAAACUCUUGACGAGAUCUAAGGCAGAGGAGCGAGGAGGUUCGCUGCUGCCAGCCUUCCAAGAGAACCCAGUCAUUAAGGAGCCCCAACUGUCACCAAUCAUACGGAUCCCCAUGUGGGACACACUUUAGCAUGAACACAACCUUGCCUCGGAAAGCAUACGUGGGAAAAUAUGCCAGGGGGGUAGCUCCCCAAUUCUCCUGCCCAAAGAUGUUUGCCAUAGACUACGCUGACUGGCCCAUUCAGGAGCCCCUCGGGUUUCCGCUGGACCUACCCUUCUGAUUUGAGAUCAUCCACGUGUUUUCCCACCUCCGGAGGCUUUUAUUUUCUGCUUCCUCCCUUCUUAGUACAGUGCCAAUCACUGCUCUCCCCCGCCGCCCCCCUCCCCAAAGGCUCUCUGAGGCUGCUCCCUUUGUGAUUGGCAUCUCAUUAAUGAAGAAGGGCUGGUGUCUCUCAUUACAGUUAGAGUGAGUGAGAGGACCUCAGAACUAAUUUACUUGCUCUCACUAGGGAAGACACUUGCCUCCAUCAAGAACUUCACUUUCCUGCUGCCUGUGGCAAUAAAAGAACCCGUUUUGUUUUAACAUUAAUAAGGAAAUUCCACUCAUUGAUAAAGCUCGGCUUCGACGCCCCUGCUCACAAUGAAAUACCUUCCUUGCCAACCACAUUGCUUUAUGAUCGUGCCCCUUUACCACAUUGUACUUGAAAUGCCUUGUCAUUUAAGAAACCAUAAAAACGACGUCUUUAAAAAUGGGUUCAUCAUUUAGCUGGAGAUGGCUUCUGUGCCUGGAACCAGAAGCCUGUCCUCUCGGUGGUAUGCCUCCACAAAAGGAAGCGAGCUACCACAAAGGACAGCAUCAUGUGUUGCCUUCAUUGCUAUUGAAUCGGGAAGUUGGUGCCCAGUUUCAACAUGGAUGACAAAGUAGUGGGAAUCUGAAAUGCCUACAGUAGAAGCUAUUUUUGAACGAGAAGGACUUUGGCUCAAAUCAACAGUUUGGUUUCUUACUGUUUACAUCUAUGAGUCAAAGUAGCUUGCUCCCAGGAUCCCCCACCAAACCGAAUGAAAAUAAAUUCAAUGUGUGCCCACUGAGCCUGGCCUGGGAGUUCUUGAGAUCAACUCAGAAUCAUGGUCUUUCUGUCACUCCCAAAACAAUCCUACCUAAUUCUACUUGUUCCUAAGUAUUGCCUUAGGAUACUGACAGUCUUUUCUCCUACUUACAGCUUUUGAAUGAAAUUAAAGCUAAUCCUCUCUGGCUUGGUCGGGUCUUGUGUAAGAUUCCCACACCCCACAAUCAAGGCCUUGCAAUGUGGUGUUAGAAGAGAUAGCCAAGUUACCACACCUGUAUCACGAUUCGGAUAAGGAUAGUAUUUUUUGCCUUCCAUGAGACAGCUUUGAAAACCUGAGUCACAGAAGCUGCUUCAUGCAAAUCCUUCCACUUUCCUCCUCACUGCCAGUACAUUGGCACCUCCUUCUUAAAAUGAGAAGAGAAGCAUAAACA
rnacentral:lncRNA from 1 species